GACUCUUGGAAAUAGAUAUCUCGGCUCUCGCAUCGAUGAAGAACGUAGCAAAAUGCGAUACUUGGUGUGAAUUGCAGAAUCCCGUGAACCAUCGAGUCUUUGAACGCAAGAUGCACCCCAAGCCAUCUGGCCGAGGGCACGUCUGCCUGGGUGUCA
rnacentral:rRNA from 1 species